rnacentral:rRNA from 1 species
UACAGAGGGGGCAAGCGUUAUUCGGAAUUAUUGGGCGUAAAGGGCGCGUAGGCGGCCUGGCAAGUGGAUGGUGAAAUCCCUCGGCUUAACCGAGGAACUGCCAUCCAGACUGCUUGGCUUGAGACCGGGAGAGGUGAGUGGAAUUCCCAGUGUAGCGGUGAAAUGCGUAGAUAUUGGGAGGAACACCAGUGGCGAAGGCGGCUCACUGGGCCGGUACUGACACUGAGGCGCGAAAGCGUGGGGAGCGAACAGG